GCCCAGCUUGAAAAUCGGA
rnacentral:snRNA from 1 species